UACACUCCUACGGGAGGCAGCAGUGGGGAAUAUUGCACAAUGGGCGCAAGCCUGAUGCAGCCAUGCCGCGUGUAUGAAGAAGGCCUUCGGGUUGUAAAGUACUUUCAGCGGGGAGGAAGGCGAUAAGGUUAAUAACCUUGUUGAUUGACGUUACCCGCAGAAGAAGCACCGGCUAACUCCGUGCCAGCAGCCGCGGUAAUACGGAGGGUGCAAGCGUUAAUCGGAAUUACUGGGCGUAAAGCGCACGCAGGCGGUCUGUCAAGUCGGAUGUGAAAUCCCCGGGCUCAACCUGGGAACUGCAUUCGAAACUGGCAGGCUAGAGUCUUGUAGAGGGGGGUAGAAUUCCAGGUGUAGCGGUGAAAUGCGUAGAGAUCUGGAGGAAUACCGGUGGCGAAGGCGGCCCCCUGGACAAAGACUGACGCUCAGGUGCGAAAGCGUGGGGAGCAAACAGGAUUAGAUACCCGUGUAGUCCCAUGA
rnacentral:rRNA from 1 species